rnacentral:rRNA from 1 species
GUACACUCCUACGGGAGGCAGCAGUGGGGAAUAUUGGACAAUGGGCGCAAGCCUGAUCCAGCCAUGCCGCGUGAGUGAUGAAGGCCCUAGGGUUGUAAAGCUCUUUCACCGGUGAAGAUAAUGACGGUAACCGGAGAAGAAGCCCCGGCUAACUUCGUGCCAGCAGCCGCGGUAAUACGAAGGGGGCUAGCGUUGUUCGGAUUUACUGGGCGUAAAGCGCACGUAGGCGGACUAUUAAGUCAGGGGUGAAAUCCCGGGGCUCAACCCCGGAACUGCCUUUGAUACUGGUAGUCUUGAGUUCGAGAGAGGUGAGUGGAAUUCCGAGUGCAGAGGUGAAAUUCGUAGAUAUUCGGAGGAACACCAGUGGCGAAGGCGGCUCACUGGCUCGAUACUGACGCUGAGGUGCGAAAGCGUGGGGAGCAAACAGGAUUAGAAACCCCAGUAGUCC